UCUGUCUCAAAAAAAUAAAUAAAUAAAAGAAUAUCUGUAAUAUGUAUUUAUGCACUGAAAAAAAUUAUUGAGCUACAUAGUAGCAAUUAUUGGAAGAGUUCAAUAAUUGCUAUGUUAUUUUGUACCAAGCACAACUGGGGAUCCAGCAGUGGACAAGUCAGACCCUGUUACUGCUCUCAUGGUGCUUACAGUCUAUUUUGGAAAUAGUAUUACCAUUUGGAGUGGUCAUCAGAAGAUGUGCGGCCUUCUGUCUUCCAGCUUUUUCCUCCUCACUGAUCUUGCCCCUUGUCCAGGACCCAUUGCUUCAUCCGUGUCUCUCUUGCAGACAACUAUGGCCAUGUGCCUGAAAUCUGGCCAAUGGAAUUGUGGACAAUUCUCCGAGCUCUUUCUCCUUCUGUGGCAACUUUGAAAGCUUUGAAAGCUGUGUGUUCAAGAUGAAGACAGAAGAUAGAAGGAAUCUAGUCUCUGAAUCAUUGCUUGGAGAAGAGCAAUUUGAUCAGUGUUAACUAUGGCCAUGUGCCUGAAAUCCGGCCAGUGGAAUUGUGGACAAUUCUCUAAGCUUCUUCUCCUUCUGUGGCAACUUUGAAAGCUGUGUGUUCAAGAUGAAGACAGAAGAUAGAAGGAACCUUAUAAAAUUUUAUAAAAUUUUUUAAAAUUAUGGAUAGAAGUUAAUCUUAUAUAAUGUAUUACAUAAUUAUCUUAUGUAAUUAUCUACAUAAUUUUGUAAAAUGUUGUAAAUGACUAAAGGUACUUCCCUUGUA